rnacentral:rRNA from 1 species
CCGGCGACCGGCGGACGGGUGCGUAACGCGUAUGUAACCUACCUUUGACAGGGGGAUAACAUCGAGAAAUUGGUACUAAUACCCCAUAACAUCACCGGAGGCAUCUUCGGUGGUUGAAAACUCAGGUGGUCAGAGAUGGACAUGCGUUGUAUUAGCUAGUUGGUGAGGUAACGGCUCACCAGGCGACGAUACAUAGGGGGACUGAGAGGUCAACCCCCCACAUUGGUACUGAGACACGGACCAAACUCCUACGGGAGGCAGCAG